rnacentral:rRNA from 1 species
AUUGAACGCUGGCGGCAUGCCUUACACAUGCAAGUCGAACGGUAACAGGUCUUCGGAUGCUGACGAGUGGCGAACGGGUGAGUAAUGCAUCGGAACGUGCCCAGUAGUGGGGGAUAGCCCGGCGAAAGCCGGAUUAAUACCGUAUACGACCUGAGGGUGAAAGGGGGGGAUCGCAAGACCUCUCGCUAUUGGAGCGGCCGAUGUCAGAUUAGCUAGUUGGUGGGGUAAAGGCCUACCAAGGCAACGAUCUGUAGUUGGUCUGAGAGGACGACCAGCCACACUAGGACUGAGACACGGCCCAGACUCCUACGGGAGGGAGCAGUGGGGAAUUUUGGACAAUGGGCGCAAGCCUGAUCCAGCAAUGCCGCGUGCAGGAAGAAGGCCUUCGGGUUGUAAACUGCUUUUGUCAGGGAAGAAAUCUUCUGGGUUAAUACCUCGGGAGGAUGACGGUACCUGAAGAAUAAGCACCGGCUAACUACGUGCCAGCAGCCGCCGUAAUAC